rnacentral:rRNA from 1 species
GUACACUCCUGCGGGAAGCAGCAGUGGGGAAUAUUGGACAAUGGGCGCAAGCCUGAUCCAGCCAUGCCGCGUGAGUGAUGAAGGCCCUAGGGUUGUAAAGCUCUUUCACCGGAGAAGAUAAUGACGGUAUCCGGAGAAGAAGCCCCGGCUAACUUCGUGCCAGCAGCCGCGGUAAUACGAAGGGGGCUAGCGUUGUUCGGAAUUACUGGGCGUAAAGCGCACGUAGGCGGAUCGAUCAGUCAGGGGUGAAAUCCCAGGGCUCAACCCUGGAACUGCCUUUGAUACUGUCGAUCUGGAGUAUGGAAGAGGUGAGUGGAAUUCCGAGUGUAGAGGUGAAAUUCGUAGAUAUUCGGAGGAACACCAGUGGCGAAGGCGGCUCACUGGUCCAUUACUGACGCUGAGGUGCGAAAGCGUGGGGAGCAAACAGGAUUAGAUACCCGAGUAGUCCCA